GGAAUAAACUGUGAAGCGGAGUGUGGAAGAAGAUAUGCCUGUCAUCAUUGUGUCAAUCCUCACUAGAUUCUCAUCAGUUUCAGAUAUCAAAUUUAUUUUGCAUAACUUCAGGCUUCUUCUGCAUUUAGCCCCCACCCAUUUUAAUUCUUAUUGUUAUUUAUAUAGUUAGACUCGGUAUUAGAAAUAACAUGCUGCUCUGCAUGUUUGUCUUACUCUUAUUAUCAAUAGAUCAAGAUCUAAUUUCUAACAUGGUUAACAGAGCCUAGUCUUGCUUCUUAAUUUUACUUUAUCAGUUUUGGUAUGUUACUUUACUAAAAAAAGUUUAUCCAUCGAUGCUUGUACGUAGAUCUAGGCCUACAUAAUUCAAAUCUAGUCAUCUAACUUUCCCAACCCUCGCCACGUACCCCCAGGGCUUAGAAUCUAGGUCUAUAAUUUUAGGCCUAGAUGUAGGUCUGGGCCUAAACGACUACAUUUACAUGUACGAAUAUGACUGUCAGUGGACCAAGAUCUACUUUCGGUCAAUAAUGGCAAUGAAGGUUUAGCCAGGAAUAAAAGUCAGACAUCAAAAAUUUCUUAAUCGAUAUAUACAUCUAGGUAAAGUCACCGAAGGGUUAGCUUUACAUUCUAGGUCUAGAUAGAUCGAGAGUCUAUUGAUAGUCUAAUCUAGACUAGACCUUAUUUAGAUACAUGAAUGCUGUCACGCAGCACUGAUUCUGGUUGGACUAGAUCUAUACUUUCUUACAAAUAGAUCUAGACCUAGUGCAUGAGAUUAUGAAAUUAUGUUGUUAAAAUUAAAUGAAUUAAGAUUCGGAAUAAAAAGAUGCAGAUUUUUUUUUUUUUUUUGGGGGGGGGGCAGACAUGUGAAAAAAUUUAGAGAAACCUGAAAUUCAGAAAGCCAGGGCCCGAAGCAACCAAUAUUGCCUAGGGCUGUUUUUUUGCAUUUUCUAAAGUAAAAUUGAAGGAUUUCAUGCAAUUCUUUUUUUUAUGAAGGUUUUCACAUUUCAGCUCCCACCCAAACCCCUCCCCCUACACUGUUAGAAAAUUUAUCCUUAAAAUAAAAGAAGUCUCGAGAACACCUGUAAUUUUACCAGAUUGCAUAAUCUUACAUUAUAUCAUGUAAAAGUACAGGAAAUUGGUAUUUAGUGUAUGGAACCUUACAAAUUUCCUUAAAUAAAACACCAUUUUCCCCUUAUUAAACAGACCUGUUCUGUAGAAAAAUUCCUGUUUUACGAAUUUACAGAAUGAUUCUGUUAUUGCUUUCUGCAAAAUCUUGUUUUUUCUGUAAAAUCAGGUUUUUUUUAACAGUGUACAUACGGCCAUGAAAGAGAUCACUUGACACUUAUUGUUCUCUCUUUUCUUUCACAAACAGGUUGAGUUUGAAGAACAAGAAAAACAGAAGAGGUCUACCCGGUACCUAUGGUUAAACAUGAUGAUCAUAAGUGCAUGCAUCAUUUUGCAGAUUCUCAUCCAGGAUGAUGCAGCUCUACAAUUUCCAUGGAGGUGAUUGAUGAUGAUAAACAGUUGGUGAAGUAGGCCUAAUAGAACAGUGAUAGGACCACAAAGAGAAAUACAACCUACAGCAGUUAUAUGAGACUGGUGUAACAGAUGUUUUCAUUCAAGAAAUCCAACAAAUUGACGAGUGACUUAGCUUAGGAAGCACUUGAUAAAGAUGGAAAAGUUUUUUUUUUUCAAGUCCCUUUUUUUUUUUUUUAAAUACAACCCCAAAUUCAAAGUAUUGAAAUUUCCUGUUGAUUUUCAUUAAAACUGGUUGCAAAAGGAGAAGCUAUAAACAUACAAAUAGGAGCGGCGAAGUGAAGUUGAAAGUGGGGGGGGGGGCACAGGGAAAAUGCUGUAUUAUGUAAAUUUUUAAGAAGUUGCGAGAGAGCAAAAUUUUGACAUUUUUAAAAAGAAAAUCCACUUUUGUGAUAGAUUUCGACAGAAUAUUCAGAAUGAUAUAUUUCACCCUUUUUUUUUGGGGGGGGGAAGAGUCCUUCAAGCCCCCCCCCCCCUCCAUCUGUAGUGUACGGAACUGCUUAUCUACCCCCAAUCACAUGAAUUAUUAAACUUAAUGCACAAAGAAUUUCCUUAUUGUUUUCUUGUUUCAAAGGGCACUCGUCAUGGUGACCAUAACACGGGUCCUUCUCAGGUGAAAGGGGCACAGAACAAGUUCUUUAGGAGCACUUUUCUUGGGUAAAAGGGGGCAGUGAUUCGAGAAAGGGCACUUACAAGAAGGUGAGGGGCACUUUUUAACACAUAAAACGGGCCCUCAGAUGAAAGGGCACAGAACACGUUCGGGGGGGGGGGCAUUUUUUGGUAAAAAUUUGCAUACAAGGAAGAGCACUUGGUAACACCAAAACAGGUUCUCGUCAGGUGAAAGGGACACAGUACACGUUCGUGAGGGGGCAUUUUUCUUACAUAAAAUUAAAGGCACUUUUCAGUGCUUCAAAAAGUAGGGGGAACUGUGCCCCCCAGGAUCGCUGCCCCUGCAUACAAAAAACAUUUUCGUUCGAUUCAAAGUAUUAACAUACGCUUAAGAAAAAAAGUAAGGCUAAAUCCUCUGAUAAUGUGAUAUUUUUUUCUGGCUAUUAAUAAAAUUCACAACUAACCAAAACAUUUCUUCAUGUCUUUCAUUUGUAUUCAUAUAGUAUUUGUACAGAGCUAAAAUGAAAGGGAUUUGGAAUUGGCAAAAUUCAAAAUGAGAUGGAGAUCGAGAGAGAAAGAGAAAGAGUGAUGAGAAGGGGGUUGAAAAGAGAUGAGAAAGAAAUGGAGGGGCACAUAUGAAGAGAUAAUUUAGAGGGGGGGGUAAGAGAGCACGAAUGGUGGGAAGUAGGAACAAAGGGGUGGAAGAGAAAUAAGACGAGAUUUAUGGAAACCAGGAGACAGAUAACAAGUGGGAAAAGAAGAAGGAAAUAUAUGUAGGAGAAAGGCAGCACCAAAAGAACGUGAGUGGGAAAAUUGUUAAAUGGAAAACAGAGC